GGCAGCAGUGGGGAAUAUUGGACAAUGGGCGAAGGCCUGAUCCAGCCAUGCCGCGUGUGUGAAGAAGGUCUUCGGAUUGUAAAGCACUUUAAGUUGGGAGGAAGGGCAGUAAGUUAAUACCUUGCUGUUUUGACGUUACCGACAGAAUAAGCACCGGCUAACUCUGUGCCAGCAGCCGCG
rnacentral:rRNA from 1 species